rnacentral:rRNA from 1 species
AUAGCGGAGGAAAGGAAACCAACAGGGAUUGCCUUAGUAGCGGCGAGUGAAGCGGCAAAAGCUCAAAUUUGAAAUCUGGCACUUUCAGUGUCCGAGUUGUAAUUUGAAGAAGGUAUCUUUGGGUCUGGCUCUUGUCUAUGUUUCUUGGAACAGAACGUCACAGAGGGUGAGAAUCCCGUGCGAUGAGAUGUCCCAGACCUAUGUAAAGUUCCUUCGAAGAGUCGAGUUGUUUGGGAAUGCAGCUCUAAGUGGGUGGUAAAUUCCAUCUAAAGCUAAAUAUUGGCGAGAGACCGAUAGCGAACAAGUACAGUGAUGGAAAGAUGAAAAGAACUUUGAAAAGAGAGUGAAAAAGUACGUGAAAUUGUUGAAAGGGAAGGGCUUGAGAUCAGACUUGGUAUUUUGUAUGUUACUCUCUCGGGGGUGGCCUCUACAGUUUACCGGGCCAGCAUCAGUUUGAGCGGUAGGAUAAGUGCAAAGAAAUGUGGCACUGCUUCCGGUAGUGUGUUAUAGUCUUUGUCGAUACCUGCCCAGCCUUAGACCUGAGGACCUGCGGCUUCGGCCCUAGGAUGUUGGCAUAAUGAUCUUAAGUCGCCCGUCUUGAACACCCCGGACCAA